GAUGAACGCUGGCGGCGUGCCUAAUACAUGCAAGUCGAGCGAACAGACGAGGAGCUUGCUCCUCUGACGUUAGCGGCGGACGGGUGAGUAACACGUAGAUAACCUACCUAUAAGACUGGGAUAACUUCGGGAAACCGGAGCUAAUACCGGAUAAUAUAUCGAACCGCAUGGUUCAAUAGUGAAAGACGGUUUUGCUAUCACUUAUAGAUGGAUCCGCGCCGUAUUAGCUAGUUGGUAAGGUAACGGCUUACCAAGGCAACGAUGCGUAGCCGACCUGAGAGGGUGAUCGGCCACACUGGAACUGAGACACGGUCCAGACUCCUACGGGAGGCAGCAGUAGGGAAUCUUCCGCAAUGGGCGAAAGCCUGACGGAGCAACGCCGCGUGAGUGAUGAAGGUCUUCGGAUCGUAAAACUCUGUUAUUAGGGAAGAACAAACGUGUAAGUAACUGUGCACGUCUUGACGGUACCUAAUCAGAAAGCCACGGCUAACUACGUG
rnacentral:rRNA from 1 species